CCCUUCUUUUAAAGCACCCUGCUAAAAUUGGGAGGGCGAAGCCUCACGGCUUUGCUCUUGCAAGCAUGUAAGCACGGGUACACCAAGGAAGGAGAGAAAAGGCACAGUGUCGCAAAUGAGGCUAGGGCGGACCUCUUUCUUAAUGUCCGAUGUCCUUUGUCUCAAGGCUACGUGCUACACUG
ensembl:snoRNA